rnacentral:rRNA from 1 species
AAACGAUAGCUAAUACCGCAUAACAGUAGAUAUUGCAUGAUAUCUGCUUGAAAGGUGCAAUUGCAUCACUACCGGAUGGACCUGCGUUGUAUUAGCUAGUUGGUGGGGUAAAGGCUCACCAAGGCCACGAUACAUAGCCGACCUGAGAGGGUGAUCGGCCACACUGGGACUGAGACACGGCCCAG